GAUGAACGCUAGCGGCAGGCUUAAUACAUGCAAGUCAAGGGGGUAGCAAUACAACCGGCGCACGGGUGAGUAACGCGUACACAACAUACCAUAUACUGGAGUAUAGCUUUGGGAAACUGAAGGUAAUCCUCCAUAACAUUGCGAAAGGGCAUCUGAUUGCAAUUAAAGUUUCGACGGUAUAUGAUUGGUGUGCGUUUGAUUAGCUAGUUGGUAGGGUAACGGCCUACCAAGGCGACGAUCAAUAGCUGGCGUGAGAGCGCGACCAGCCACACUGGAACUGAGACACGGUCCAGACUCCUACGGGAGGCAGCAGUAGGGAAUAUUGGACAAUGGGCGAAAGCCUGAUCCAGCCAUGCCGCGUGAUAGAUGAAGGCCCUCUGGGUUGUAAAUAUCUUUUAUCUGGGAAGAAACAAUCUUAUUCUUAAGAUCUUGACGGUACCAGAGGAAUAAGCACCGGCUAACUCCGUG
rnacentral:rRNA from 1 species